UCGAACGAGGUGCUUUUUGUAGCAAUACGAGGAGUAUCCUAGUGGCGAACGGGUGAGUAACGCGUGGGUGACCUACCCCAAAGUGUGGAAUAACAGUCCGAAAGGAUUGCUAAUGCCGCAUGUGGUCUGCGAGUUUAGAAAUCGUUGACUAAAGGAGCAAUUCGCUUUGGGAGGGACCUGCGUCCCAUCAGCUAGUUGGUGAGGUAACGGCUCACCAAGGCUACGACGGGUAGGGGACCUGAGAGGGUGGCCCCCCACAAUGGAACUGAAACACGGUCCAUACACCUACGGGUGGCAGCAGUAGGGAAUAUUGCACAAUGGGCGAAAGCCUGAUGCAGCAACGCCGCGUGCGCGAUGAAGGUCUUCGGAUCGUAAAGCGCUUUUCUGAGAGAUGAGAAAGGACAGUAUCUCAGGAAUAAGUCUCGGCUAACUACGUGCCAGCAGCCGCGGUAAAACGUAGGAGGCGAGCGUUAUCCGGAUUCACUGGGCGUAAAGCGCGUGCAGGUGGUUCGGUAAGUUGGGCGUGAAAUCUCCCGGCUCAACUGGGAGAGGUCGUUCAAUACUACCGGACUUGAGAGCAGAAGAGGAAGAUGGAAUUCCCGGUGUAGUGGUGAAAUGCGUAGAUAUCGGGAGGAACACCAGUGGCGAAGGCGAUCUUCUGGUCUGUUUCUGACACUCAGACGCGACAGCUAGGGUAGUAAACGGGAUUAGAGACCCCGGUAAUCCUAGCCGUAAACGAUGUGAACUUGGCGUUGGUGGGUUAAACUCCAUCAGUGCCGAAGCAAACGCGAUAAGUUCACCGCCUGGGGACUACGGCCGCAAGGUUAAAAC
rnacentral:rRNA from 1 species